AUUGAACGCUGGCGGCAGGCCUAACACAUGCAAGUCGAACGAGUGGCGGACGGGUGAGUAAUGUCUGGGACACUGCCUGAUGGAGGGGGAUAACUACUGGAAACGGUAGCUAAUACCGCAUACUAUAAGAUGUUGCCUGAUGGGAUUAGCGUGUUGGUGGGGUAACGCCACACCAAUGAGACGAUCCCUAGCGUGUCUGAGAGGAUGACCAGCCACACUGGAACUGAUACACGGUCCCGACUCCUACGUGAGGCAGCAGUGGGGAAUAGUGCACAAGGGGCGUAAGCCUGAUGAAGCCAUGCCGCGUGUAUGAAGAAGGCCUUCGGGUUGUAAAGUACUUUCAGCGGGGAGGCGUUACCCGCAGAAGAAGCACCGGCUAACUCCGUGCCAGCAGCCGCGGUAAUUC
rnacentral:rRNA from 1 species